UUACGUGGGAUUGGUGCGUGAACUCCAGUACUUCCUGAUACUGAUACCAGCGUUUUAGGCAGUAUCAGAGAUACUGAUACUGGUACUGGUAUCGGAGCAUCUCUAAUGAGAAAU